GCAAGUCGAACGCGAAAAUACCUUCGGGUGCGAGUAGAGUGGCGGACGGGGGAGUAACGCGUGGGAAUCUGCCCUGCAGCGGGGGACAACCCGAGGAAACUCGGGCUAAUACCGCAUACGUCCUACGGGAGAAAGGGGGCUUCGGCUCUCGCUGCAGGAUGAGCCCGCGUCCGAUUAGCUUGUUGGUGGGGUGACGGCCCACCAAGGCGACGAUCGGUAGCUGGUCUGAGAGGAUGAUC
rnacentral:rRNA from 1 species